rnacentral:rRNA from 1 species
GACGAACGCUGGCGGCAUGCUUUACACAUGCAAGUCGAACGCGAAAGGGGGCAACCCCGAGUAGAGUGGCGAACGGGUGAGUAAUGCAUCGGAACGCGUCCUGUAGUGGGGGACAACCCCGAGAAAUCGGGGCUAAUACCGCAUACGAUCUGCGGAUGAAAGUGGGGACCGCAAGGCCUCACGCUAUAGGAGCGGCCGAUGCCGGAUUAGCUAGUUGGUGGGGUAAAGGCCCACCAAGGCGACGAUCCGUAGCUGGUCUGAGAGGACGACCAGCCACACUGGGACUGAGACACGGCCCAGACUCCUACGGGAGGCAGCAGUGGGGAAUUUUGGACAAUGGGCGCAAGCCUGAUCCAGCCAUGCCGCGUGAGUGAAG